rnacentral:misc_RNA from 1 species
UUGCGGCUGGAUCACCUCCUUUCUAAGGAUGAUCCUUCAGAUCAGCUCACGCUAUCUAUCGGAUCGUUUUAGAAACAUUCAGGGGCCAACAGUUUCAGGAUUGUUGAGCUCCAUUGGCGGGAUUUCGCCGUCUUCGUUUCUCUUUCUUCGCGGACGAAUACGCGCCAGGGGCUGAGCGCUGUGCGGUGCACCGACUAAGCGUCGCGUGCGCGCCGGCAUGUCUCUCGUGUUAGGGGCUUGUAGCUCAGUUGGUUAGAGCGCGCGCUUGAUAAGCGUGAGGUCGGAAGUUCAAGUCUUCCCAGGCCCACCAUUUUGAUCGAGUGCGGAGCAUUCGUCUUCUGGUACGGGGCCAUAGCUCAGCUGGGAGAGCGCGUGCUUUGCAAGCAUGAGGUCGUCGGUUCGAUCCCGUCUGGCUCCACCAGAUGGUUUGRUCACCAACGGCGUUACCGUCGUCCGCGAAACAUCACUUCGCACUCAUUGGUCCGGAUGGACGGUGACGUGCGUGUUUUCUGACAUCGUAAAGAGGAGAUCGAUCCGAGUUUGGAUCAAGCGAAGCAAUUCGUCUGAACCAUUCAUUAUCUCCGGGAUCAUUUCGGCGCUCGCGCAUCGCAGUUCAUCGCAAGAUGAGUGGGGUGAGCGGGUUGUAAAUGAUCUCUUUUAGCGAAGCUUGACCGCCUCGCUAUCGGGCCGAUCUUACGAAGCAAGCUGGUCUUUCUAGUCAAUGUCCGGCUGCGCAAUCGCAUUCAUCGAGGAUGCGUGCCUGGGACUUCGGUCUUCGGGCAGUUGCGCAGACAACAUUCUGCCGAGUGUGUGGACAUUGAUAAUGAGAGCAAUCAAGUGCCUUAAGGGUGUUCGGUGGAUGCCUUGGCGCUGAGAGGCGAUGAAGGACGUGCUACGCUGCGAUAAGCCGUGGGGAGCUGCGAAGAAGC